rnacentral:tRNA from 1 species
GACCGCGUAGCUCAGUUGGAAGAACAUUGGGCUAGUAUUCCAAAGGUCGUAGGUUCGAAUCCCACCGUGGUCG